rnacentral:rRNA from 2 species
UACGUAGGGUGCAAGCGUUAAUCGGAAUUACUGGGCGUAAAGCGAGCGCAGGCGGUUUUGUAAGUCAGAUGUGAAAGCCCCGGGCUCAACCUGGGAACUGCGUUUGAAACUACAAGGCUAGAGUAUGGGAGAGGGAGGUAGAAUUCCACGUGUAGCAGUGAAAUGCGUAGAGAUGUGGAGGAAUACCAAUGGCGAAGGCAGCCUCCUGGCCUAAUACUGACGCUCAUGCUCGAAAGCGUGGGGAGCAAACAGG